rnacentral:rRNA from 1 species
CCUACGGGGGGCAGCAGUAGGGAAUAUUGCGCAAUGGACGGAAGUCUGACGCAGCGACGCCGCGUGAGCGAUGAAGGUCUUCGGAUCGUAAAGCUCUGUCAAGAGGAAAGAAGUGUACAAUGGCUAAUACCUGUUGUAUUUGACGGUACCUCUAAAGGAAGCACCGGCUAACUCCGUGCCAGCAGCCGCGGUAAUACGGAGGGUGCAAGCGUUGUUCGGAAUCACUGGGCGUAAAGGGCGCGUAGGCGGCGUGGUAAGUCAGAUGUGAAGGCCCACGGCUUAACUGUGGAAGUGCAUUUGAAACUGUCAGGCUUGAGUACCAGAGGGGAAAGUGGAAUUCCCGGUGUAGAGGUGAAAUUCGUAGAUAUCGGGAGGAAUACCGGUGGCGAAGGCGACUUUCUGGCUGGAUACUGACGCUGAGGCGCGAAAGCGUGGGGAGCAAACAGGAUUAGAUACCCGGGUAGUC